rnacentral:rRNA from 1 species
GACGAACGCUGGCGGCGUGCUUAACACAUGCAAGUCGAACGGAAAGGCCCUGCUUUUGUGGGGUUCUCGAUUGGCGAACGGGUGAGUAACACGUGAGUAACCUGCCCUUGACUUUGGGAUAACUUCAGGAAACUGGGGCUAAUACCGGAUAGGAGCUCCUGCUGCAUGGUGGGGGUUGGAAAGUUUCGGCGGUUGGGGAUGGACUCGCGGCUUAUCAGCUUGUUGGUGGGGUAGUGGCUUACCAAGGCUUUGACGGGUAGCCGGCCUGAGAGGGUGACCGGCGACAUUGGGACUGAGAUACGGCCCAGACUCCUACGGGAGGCAGCAGUGGGGAAUAUUGCACAAUGGGCGGAAGCCUGAUGCAGCAACGCCGCGUGCGGGAUGACGGCCUUCGGGUUGUAAACCGCUUUCGCCUGUGACGAAGCGUGAGUGACGGUAAUGGGUAAAGAAGCACCGGCUAACUACGUG